GAAGGAGUAAGAGAAACCCAAACGCACUCCUUAGAGACGUUGUUGACAAAACCAGUCACCUCAUCACCCUUUUUGAACUGAGGUUCUUUCAUACUGAAUGGCUCCAUGUUCAAUAUUGAAGGGCGUACGCUCAACUCUAAAAACUGCUUCGGAGACACUCUAUGCGAUAUCGGUAAAAAUUUAUGAUUUCUUGAGUCGUGAAUACCUAAGACGCGAACUCGAAUUUUAUCACCUUUAUGAAAUCUUUUAAGUGGUUUAUUGGGAUCAACAAUCUCUCCAAAAUUAUCAAAAACCUCAGAAACAUCAACACGGCCAUGCACAUUAGCAGCUAAAUCAACAUUAAGCUGAGAAGCUUUAGCAGAUGUAACAACAGCCCAGGUAAUUUUUCCUGCAACGUAGUCAUACGUCUUUUUAAUAGUUUCAUCGACUGGAUUGUCGAUAUCGUACUUGCUUUCCAUAAAUUCCACAGCUUUCUCCUGUUUCUGCGCAAGAGGCUUAAAUGACAUAAACGCCUUUUCUUGUGAAAGCUCUACGGACAAACACACACAGGUAACGGAUUGCUGGGGUUUAUAGACUGCUGAAGGGACUGGCACAUACUCUUCAGAUAUAUAGGCCUUUGGAACUAAUGCUACUAAACCGUCACAAAACUCGACAAAAACGCCAAAUGUAGUCGCAUUACGCACGAAUCCAAAAUAUUUAAUACCUUCUUUAAGAUCAGUGAUAUUGAUGGGCAUCCGAUUUUCCUUGGCAGCUUC